rnacentral:rRNA from 1 species
UCGAGGAUCUUCGUCAAUGGGCGCAAGCCUGAACGAGCGACGCCGCGUGAGCGAUGAAGGCCUUCGGGUUGUAAAGCUCGAAAGAGGGAAUAAAACCGAAAGGUUGAUUAAACCCCAGUAAGGACGGGCUAAGUUCGUGCCAGCAGCCGCGGUAAGACGAACUGUCCUAACGUUGUUCGGAAUCACUGGGCUUAAAGGGCGCGUAGGCGGUCCACCAAGUCAGGGGUGAAAUCCUGCAGCUUAACUGCAGAAGUGCCUUUGAUACUGGUCGUCUGGAGGGAGAUAGGGGUGUGUGGAACUCACAGUGGAGCGGUGAAAUGCGUUGAUAUUGUGAGGAACGCCGGAGGCGAAAGCGACGCACUGGAUCUCUUCUGACGCUGAGGCGCGAAAGCUAGGGGAGCAAACGGGAUUAGAUACCCCCGUAGUCC